CAGAGCUAUUUUUCUAGAAGUGCUUGGGAAAUCCAUUAACAAAAAAAAAUCCAACCUACUUUUCCAUUCUUUCCCAGGAAAAGCACUGGCCCACCAGAUGAAAAUCCAUAUCUGCAAACAAGAGCAAUAAAAACUUCCCUUUCCUUGCCAAGAUAACAACUGGUCAGGAGCCCUGUCUCAUUCUAAUGACUCUUCAAGUUGCUUAAACGACUUGCUAUUACCAGCUACAAACAGGAACUAGAGCUCGAGUCAAUAGGCAGGAAGGCGAGGGAGGGGAAGUCGGCAAGGGAGUCCGGAGUCAUUUUGAUUAUGCAGCAGGACUGGAAGAAGAGGAGCAGCCCAGGCUGGCAGGCAGCUUAGCUGUUUGGAAGAGCUGCAUGGGAAGUCAACCCUUUCUCAAGACUUAAGGGAGCCACCUGCAAAGUAUCUCCUUCAUU
ensembl:lncRNA